GAUGAACGCUGGCGGCGUGCCUAAUACAUGCAAGUCGAGCGAACGGACGAGAAGCUUGCUUCUCUGAUGUUAGCGGCGGACGGGUGAGUAACACGUGGAUAACCUACCUAUAAGACUGGGAUAACUUCGGGAAACCGGAGCUAAUACCGGAUAAUAUUUUGAACCGCAUGGUUCAAAAGUGAAAGACGGUCUUGCUGUCACUUAUAGAUGGAUCCGCGCUGCAUUAGCUAGUUGGUAAGGUAACGGCUUACCAAGGCAACGAUGCAUAGCCGACCUGAGAGGGUGAUCGGCCACACUGGGACGUAGACACGGUCCAUACUCCUACGGGAGGCAGCAGUAGGGAAUCUUCCGCAAUGGGCGAAAGCCUGACGGAGCAACGCCGCGUGAGUGAUGAAGGUCUUCGGAUCGUAAAACUCUGUUAUUAGGGAAGAACAUAUGUGUAAGUAACUGUGCACAUCUUGACGGUACCUAAUCAGAAAGCCACGGCUAACUACGUG
rnacentral:rRNA from 1 species